UCCUGGCGCCCUUCAUUCCACCGGAAUCUGUCGAUACAGACACCAGAUUUCAGUGAAAUGAAGCCCGUCAGAGA
rnacentral:pre_miRNA from 1 species